CCUACGGGUGGCAGCAGUUAGGAAUUUUGCGCAAUGGACGAAAGUCUGACGCAGCGAUGCCGCGUGAGGGAUGAAGGCCUUCGGGUUGUAAACCUCUUUUAGUUGGAGCGAAAAAAAUGACGGUACCAACAGAAUAAGCACCGGCUAACCCUGUGCCAGCAGCCGCGGUAAUACAGGGGGUGCAAGCGUUACUCGGAAUUAUUGGGCGUAAAGCGCGUGUAGGUGGUUUUUUAAGUCUGGUGUGAAAUCCCUGGUCUCAAGCCAGGAAGUGCAUU
rnacentral:rRNA from 1 species